rnacentral:tRNA from 1 species
GCGGUCGUGGCGGAACUGGUAGACGCGCUAGAUUCAGGUUCUAGUGGGGGAAACCCCGUGGAGGUUCGAGUCCUCUCGACCGCACCA